AGAAAAAUUACAAUUAAAUGCAAAAUGGGAAUAGAAAAUCUUAACAGUAUCCUAGCACAAAAUUAACACAUACGUCUAGCAUCCAAAAACGAUAAACUGAUAAGCUAAGGCUUAUCAAUUUCCAGAAAGGGUACAAAAGAGUUCCUUUUUAAAAAAAUAAAUAAAUAAAGAAAGAAUAAAAUCAUAUGGAAAAUUCUUAUGAAUCAUAUCUUUAGCUCUAAGAACUACUAUCUCAACUAAAACAUUCCUCUCUGCAUUCAUCUAUUGUAAACUUUCAAUAAAACACAUGAUAGAAAGCAUUCAUGUCCCCUUUCAAUAAAUCAUAUUUUUCACUCAUUUAUAUUCAAG
rnacentral:misc_RNA from 1 species